rnacentral:rRNA from 1 species
AUACGGAGGAUCCGAGCGUUAUCCGGUUUUAUUGGGUUUAAAGGGUGCGCAGGCGGCCAUUUAAGUCAGCGGUUAAAUCGUGGGGCUCAACCCCAUUCUGCCGUUGAUACUGGGUGGCUUGAUUGCGGUCGAGGUUGGCGGAAUUCGUUGUGUAGCGGUGAAAUGCAUAGAUAUGACGAAGAACACCGAUUGCGUAGGCAGCUGACCAGACCGCAAAUGACGCUCAUGCACGAAAGUGCGGGGAUCGAACAGGAUUAGAUACCCUGGUAGUCCGCACAGUAAACGAUGAAUACUUGUUUUCGGCGAUAUAAUGUCGGAGGCAAGGCGAAAGCGAUAAGUAUUCCACCUGGGGAGUACGCCGGCAACGGUGAAACUCAAAGGAAUUGACGGGG